rnacentral:rRNA from 1 species
GGGCCCGCACAAGCGGUGGAGCAUGUGGUUUAAUUCGAUGAUACGCGAGGAACCUUACCAGGACUUAAAUGUAAGUUGCAUGAUUCAGAAAUGGAUCUUUCUUCGGACUACUUACAAGGUGCUGCAUGGUUGUCGUCAGCUCGUGCCGUGAGGUGUCAGGUUAAGUCCUAUAACGAGCGCAACCCCUAUCGUUAGUUGCCAUCAAGUAAAGUUGGGAACUCUAGCGAAACUGCCGGUGCAAACCGUGAGGAAGGUGGGGAUGACGUCAAAUCAUCACGGCCCUUACGUCCUGGGCCACACACGUGCUACAAUGGUCAGUACAGAAAGCAGCCACUAUGCGAAUAGGAGCUAAUCUUCAAAGCCGGUCUCAGUUCGGAUCGGAGUCUGCAACUCGACUCCUUGAAGUUGGAGUC